CUGCAAACAUACCAUUUGGCUUACAUUCAUGGCUGAGUUCUUCGUGAAUUUCAAAGAGGUUCUGGUGACCACCAAGUGGCCCGUUCUUUUCGGUCACCUGCUGCAAGGCUGGAAAGUUUUCCAAACUUAUGUGUUCGCUUUGUACGGUUUCAUCUUUCAAAAGGAAUCUUAUACUGAUUCC
rnacentral:ribozyme from 1 species